CACUACAUAAUUAAAAAAAAAUACUGUUUGUAUUCAGGGAACUGUUUAUAUUUUUCAAACUCUUUUUCCCAAUCUUCUCGCGACAUCGGAGGUCUUUCACCAAACGCAGACCAUUCAACCAUCUAGAAAUGGGCUAUAAAAUAACUUAGAAAUAACAAUUGAUAAACCAUACCAAUCACCACUGCUCCAAAGCACAUGCCAGCACAUGUUCCAAGCCAUCGUCCAAUCCAUUUUGAUUGUUGUAUUGUUGGUACCUCAGCAGCAGUUGUUACAAAUCUGGUAAGUGGUUGAAAACUCUUAAGACAUUUAGAGAAUGCAGAGCAUUUCAAUUGAAUCCGACUAGGCUUAACUGCGGCCACAUAAUUUCGCUGGAUCGCGUUCUUUAGGCAAGAAUUGUUUGAAAAAUCUCAACUUACCAAAUUCUGAUUCUGAAUGAAUUUUGCUACGAUUAUCAUUGUUUGCUUUUAAUUAAAACCUAAAAGAACUAAUGAUUUUUUCCAAUUUUCAAGAUGUGAAAGACUGGAUUUCAAA